GGAGCUGCCGCUGCCACCGUCCCGCCCGGCCCGGCCGUGCUGCGUUCUUCUGCGGAGGCCUCCCGCAGCGGCCCGGCUCGCUUUCCGAUUGGCCGGUGUGCUCUCUCGCUCGCUCCGACCAAUGGCGCCGCGGAUCCAAAUCUACCCAAUGGGCGGCGGGCGGCUGCCCUGUUUCGCGCGUCCCCCACUUGCAGCAGCGCUUCGCGGCGGUGGGCGGGGCGUCCCCGUGAGUUGAUUCCGCAGUCGUUCCUGAGCGAUUUGAUAUCGGGACAGAAAAAGUUGGCGGCAGCGCUCAGCGCUGGACUUGACCUCCGUGCCAUCGUCCAUCCCUUGCCCGAUGCUGAGGAGCCAGACAGGGACGUGAAUAUCUGCACUGAAGGCAAAGAAAAGAAAUCCCCCACAUUGAUUUAGCUUAAGGCAAACCAGAGACCGAGUCUUUCUGCUGAAGUUUCAACCCUAAUUGCGCCUGGUUUCUAUAUAUAGUCCCUGCAUACAGUGCAGUUCAUCCAAAACCAGAACAGAAUGGAGAAGCCCUAUGGGAGAGCAUCACAUGACACAGGAGGCAGUUCUCUACCUGGCCUUGAACCCUCUGCAGAAAAAGCACCUCGUCUUCCCUGGAGGAUCAAAUCCAGCUCUUCUGCUCGUCUCCAGAAUCCAGGAAAACAAAAUCGAAGG